rnacentral:tRNA from 1 species
GCAACUCUAUUGUAGGAACAAUAGGCUUCUUGAUUAGGCUUGAUCAGAGCCGUGCCAGUUCGAGUCUGGCGAGUUGCA